CUACAGGGGUUCGGGGAUCGCAGCCCGUCAGGCUCCGAGUCCCCCACCAGAGACGACAAUGCCUUCUUCUUACUCGCCGCCAUCGCUCCCGUGACUUAUUUCCGGGAAGCGGAAGGAAGGUGUGUGUGAAGUUCUUUGUAGGUGUUGAUACCUGGUAUCCCUGAUGUGAAACACUAUAGAGACAUGGUUGAUUUUGGAAAGUGGCCUUUUUUCACUUUGCUUUCACCCCAGGAGGUGUCCUCCAUUCGACAAGCCUGUGUUUUUGGUACUUGUGCCAAUGAAGUUAUCUACACUACUGACCAUGAGGAGCGCGCUGGUCGGUUCCUUGCGCAUGCUCUGAAACGCGUUGUGGUCCCCCUCGGCUUCCGUCCAAGCCGACGUCACGCAUCAGCUGAUGAACUCAUUGCCUAGCAGCGGUAUAACAACAAGGACUUAGCCGUUUCUCCCCGGCUCCCUCCGGCCGCCGAGUUCUCAUGCCUUACUGGCUGUCAGCAACAGACGGACACCAGCUCCCAUGACUGCAGCAUAAUACUAUGAUGUAAGUGCUGGAUAUUUUUAUGAUUUAUAAUUAAAACACAGUAUACUCAGAGGCGCUCUUCUCUUUUGUUUUUCUCUUGCAUAUAUUGAGCUGGCUUCGCUCCUGGAUAGCUGCCCUGAUCUACUGUUUUCAUCUACACUGGUUCGUCAUUGCCAUCAACUAUAGCUUUUUCUGGCACCCUGCUGGGAUUGAUCCUUGUAUGGACUCAUGAACAUUUACACCAUAUAUCUCCGCUGUGGUUUGUUAUUUUAAUUUAUUCAUUUCUAUAUAUCCGUUUAUUUUAAUUUUCAGCCUCCCAUUGAUUGGUCUGUGCAAACACCCUGAGCGCUGUACUCCACCCAUUUUUUAGUAAUGUCAUUUUGUGCAGGGACAGUUCUAAACACGUGCCACU